CCGCCGGUAUCACUCCGCCCCGCAGGGAGGUUCCGGCCGCAGGGCGGGGAGGGGCGGAGGGGAAGAGGGGGAGGGGCGGGGAAGCCCGGCUCGUCGACAGCCCGGGCAACCCCAACCGUGCGCUAAUAAAAUCGCCGCAGAGGCGCGGCCGCCUCUCGGGCUUCCUUCCUAGGGGGCGCUCUGGCGCGCGGGCGCAGGCAAACGCGAGGGCGUGGGACUCUUUGCCCUCUUAGGGCGGAAGGAACGCGUCCAGUCUGAGAAAGGGCGGCCGCGACCCGAGGCGCCCGAGUCAAAGGAGCGGCCCCCCUCUCUCCGAGGGGGUUGGGGGUCCGGACGGCCGGGCGGGUCUCGGCGGGAGCCUGGGCCCCUUGAGAGACUGUGGCGGUGCGGCUGCUCGGUUUCGCGGCUUCUCCGCCGCCGUCGAGCUGGUGUCGCGCCCUUGCCCGCCCUGGAGUCGGACUGUGUAGCGGGGCGCCCUGCGAGUUCCAGGCCCAGUGGGCCUGAGUAGCAGACGCGGUCAUGGUUAUCUGGACGCUGCAGUUAUUGUUUCUGAAUCCCGGAACUGGGGCCUGACUCCCUAGAGAGACCGAGGGUGCCGAGAUGAGUUUCCACUGCUGACCAGUGCAGCUGUAUUUUGCUAAAAGGUGUUUUGGGGUGUUUUUUUUUUUUUUUCUAACCUUUCCCCCGUUUUCUCUUCUCACCUUUUUAUUUUUACCCAUUUUUCGUCUUGCUGUUUUUUCAGUUAGAAGUGGGUGCUGUCAGUGGUGAAAUAAAAUUAGGACCGAGGCCUUGUCCAGUUGGUGCUUACUCAGUCCGUGCUGACCCGUGGUCAGGGCUUGGAGCAGAGCUCUAAGGGAGGGCGGAGUCCUCCAGUAGAGGUCAAUGCGGAGUGGAUCAAAGCAGAAAUAAGCCUCUCUGGCCAGCCCAAGACUUCACUGAAAGCAGUAACAUACCUAAAGCAGGAAUGCCUCAAUCAGGAAUUUAGCCAAGAAACAAACAAACAAAAAAAAGCCUGGGAAGUAAAUAAUUUGGCAAGAUCCCUGUCUAAAGGGAAAGUCUCCUGAGCAGGUACAAAACCUAUCUUGUUCUGAUAGUGGAGGUAGUUUGCUCUAUCAAAGUUUUAUGUGAUUCCAUUAAGUCAUACAACUAAACCUAUUAUUCUUUUACUUUUCUCAAUAAGUGCAGGUCUGAAUAUUA